GCGGAUGUGGCGGAACUGGCAGACGCGCUAGCUUCAGGUGCUAGUGAGCAUUACGCUCGUGGAGGUUCGAAUCCUCUCAUCCGCA
rnacentral:tRNA from 1 species